GAUGAACGCUGGCGGCGUGCCUAAUACAUGCAAGUCGAGCGAACAGACGAGGAGCUUGCUCCUCUGACGUUAGCGGCGGACGGGUGAGUAACACGUGGAUAACCUACCUAUAAGACUGGGAUAACUUCGGGAAACCGGAGCUAAUACCGGAUAAUAUAUUGAACCGCAUGGUUCAAUAGUGAAAGACGGUUUUGCUGUCACUUAUAGAUGGAUCCGCGCCGCAUUAGCUAGUUGGUAAGGUAACGGCUUACCAAGGCAACGAUGCGUAGCCGACCUGAGAGGGUGAGCGCCCACACGGGAACGGAGACAGGGUCCAGCCCCCUACGGGAGGGGGCAGGAGGAAAUCUGCAGCAAGGGGCGAAAGUUUGAGGGAGCACCGCCGGGGGAGUAAAAAGGGUUUUCGGAUGGUAAAACUCUUUUAUAGGGGAAAAAAAAUUGUGAAAGAAAAUAGACCCGUCUGGACGGUACCUAAUCAAAAAGCCACGGCAAACUCCGGG
rnacentral:rRNA from 1 species